CUGGCUCAGAGCGAACGCUGGCGGCAGGCUUAACACAUGCAAGUCGAACGGGCACUUCGGUGCUAGUGGCAGACGGGUGAGUAACACGUGGGAACGUACCUUUCGGUUCGGAAUAAUACAGGGAAACUUGUACUAAUACCGGAUACGCCCUUUGGGGGAAAGAUUUAUCGCCGAUAGAUCGGCCCGCGUCUGAUUAGCUAGUUGGUGAGGUAAUGGCUCACCAAGGCGACGAUCAGUAGCUGGUCUGAGAGGAUGAUCAGCCACAUUGGGACUGAGACACGGCCCAAACUCCUACGGGAGGCAGCAGUGGGGAAUAUUGGACAAUGGGCGAAAGCCUGAUCCAGCCAUGCCGCGUGUGUGAUGAAGGCCUUAGGGUUGUAAAGCACUUUUGUCCGGGAAGAUAAUGACUUACCGGAAG
rnacentral:rRNA from 1 species